AAAUACAUGCAUUAUUCCAAAAAAUUAUUCUAGACAUGUUUCUCAAUGUUAGUAUCCAAAAUAUAAUCCACAUGAAUUGAUAAUGAAACCAUACAUUACAGAACUUGUAGAGGCUUAAAUAGAGGAGUUUUAAUAACAAAGCAACAUUCCCAAUUUUGUUUCAAAUAAAGAAGAUCACACCGCUCCUAUCGGCAACACUACUGGCACUCUAUUUGUUUAGAAAAGAAGAAAAGAAAAGGGAAAAUAGAUCCAUGAUUAUACCACCUUCAUCCUUGUUAAUUUCAAUUGUUUGAUGCCAAAGUAUAUAAUGAAGAAUAUUCAAUAAAUGUAAAUAAAAAGAGAUGCGAGGCAAUAAUUACCUCUUUCAAUUUCUUGAAGAUACUCCACGCCUCAAAAUUUCUCCAUCUUUUGUCAUCAACUUUACAAUCCUUAAUGCGAGUUCGAACUUUCCCCUCAUUUUAUUGCUGGAAGCCUGGAAACAACAAACAGAUUGGUCGAUUUUUGGAUUAAAAUUUGGGGUAAUCCCUAUCAACUUUAAGAUAUAAGGGUUAAUUUCAUAUGUGGCCAUCGCGAUUUCCGAAAUUGGAGAGAUGAGAGGUUGUGCUACGGGAAAACAGAGACAGCGAGACUACGAAUCACAAAGUACCUUAUCUAUGACUUGCAAAAAAGACCAAAUUUUGUAAUGUUCGCUCUAUGUGACUGAAUAGGGUGUAUGUUUUCCUUACUUUCGAUUCAGAAUCGAAGAGAAUAGGGAGAGAUGAGAAAGAAUCUAACCGAUAGAUCUCUUCUUCCUCGGCAAUGUGGCAUCUUGAUCAUCCCCAUAUGUGUCUUCCAUAUUGUCGCUCUUAGAUCUGGUCUCAUGCUCUGUAUCUGUGCUUCUUCUUCCAUUAAACAUUUACUGUGCUUCAAUUCGAAACAGUUGCAUCCUAGUUAAUACAUAUAUGGAUGGAGAAUAGUAGGAGAAAUUAAAUUGAUUUUGAGAAAUAAUCGUAUUGUGAUCGAACCGUCUGAGAGAGAUAUCAAAUUGCUAUGGGGAGAGAACCGUGGGUGAGAGAAAACUGUUGUUGACUUGUUGUGAUAGAACGUGUGAGAGAGAAUUUUUGGCGGUAAAAAAUAGCCGUUAAACUCAUUUUAUAUAGAUUAACCGAGGGUGACCCUCGUAUCUGUUUCCCUUGAGUAACAGUAUUUUUAGCUCAGGCCCAACUCUAAAUACGGGCUUCCCUCUUUAUUUUACUUAUCUAUCA
rnacentral:lncRNA from 1 species